UGGGUUAUGGCUCAGAGGUAAAGCGCUUGCCUAGCAUGCAAGAGGCACUGGAUUCGAUCCUCAGCACCACAU
rfam:Ictidomys tridecemlineatus contig099788, whole genome shotgun sequence.